rnacentral:snRNA from 1 species
ACGCUCUGGUUUCUCUGCAUCACGCAUAAACCUUUCGCCUUUUACUAAAGAUUUCCGUGCAGAGGAACACUCAUUGAGUUUUAACUCGAUUUUUCUUAGCCCUGUCUUGCGAGAUU